rnacentral:rRNA from 1 species
UACGAAGGGGGCUAGCGUUGUUCGGAAUUACUGGGCGUAAAGCGCGCGCAGGCGGUUCUUCAAGUCAGAGGUGAAAGCCCAGGGCUCAACCCUGGAAUGGCCUUUGAGACUAGAGGACUUGGGUACGGGAGAGGUGAGUGGAAUUCCGAGUGUAGAGGUGAAAUUCGUAGAUAUUCGGAAGAACACCAGUGGCGAAGGCGACACACUGGCCCAUUACUGACGCUGAGGCUCGAAAGCGUGGGGAGCAAACAGG